UACGUAGGGUGCGAGCGUUGUCCGGAGUUAUUGGGCGUAAAGAGCUUGUAGGCGGUUUGUCGCGUCUGCUGUGAAAAUCCGGGGCUCAACCCCGGACUGCAGUGGGUACGGGCAGACUAGAGUGUGGUAGGGGAGACUGGAAUUCCUGGUGUAGCGGUGAAAUGCGCAGAUAUCAGGAGGAACACCGAUGGCGAAGGCAGGUCUCUGGGCCACUACUGA
rnacentral:rRNA from 1 species